rnacentral:lncRNA from 1 species
GAAAAGAGAGAACUGUGUGCUACAAAAAAUGAAUGGUGGUUUGAAGUAAAUUAAAGAUCCAUAUCACACGUGCAACCAGUAAGGUGAAAAACAGGAUCUAGAUGUAACCUCAAAAUUGGGUAGGAGCUUUUCCAUAAAUCUAUUAUUUCUCACACCCAUGAUAUUCAACCUCAUCCAAUGCAUUAUUUUCAUUUAAGUGACAAUAGAACACGGUUAGCUGCUCUGCUACAGGAUUGUGUUUGGUUCAACAAGCUACCAAAAUUACAGGAUUUGGGCAAUCAGGAACAAUACAAAUGAUUCUAUAAUUUGAAACAUAUUUAAUGUCACCAAAUAACCAAAUCCUAUUCCAAUAUGUAAUGGUACCAUACCCUAGAAGCCAACUUCACAAAGUAAUAAAAUACAGUUCUGUGCAGAAGCAUACCCUUCCCCUUUCUUUUCAGACAACCCAAAAUAUAAAUUCAUAACUCUCAUAUUUGCGAGUAUAAAAAAUAAGAGUUGACACCGACUACACUUUACAUACGACCUGGCACCAGUAAUUAUAUAGUUAUAUAUGCAUUGGCAUGGCAAGAAUUGGGACUAGCACGUCCAAGAUCAAGUCCAAACAAGUUGAAGCAUAAUAAAAAGCACUAAGCUCUAAGCAGACUGGUCAGAAAGGAGGCAAGCAAGAUUGGAGGUAGCACCUAGGAGCACCUAAGUGCCACAUAAUCAUCCCGCUUAAAAUAGUUGAAAACACAGGGUAAGGUAGCUAAUGAAAACUUGAAGGAAACAUGUGAUAAGGAUAACAGAGUUCACCAAUUAAAAAUGUAUUUUGUAAAAAUAAGACAUGCAGUAGACUUCUACCUACUGCUUUACACAGCAGAUUAGGAAAAACAAGUAGUGCCUUCAGACACUACAAUAGGUAGACAAACUUCCUGAACCUAACCCCCUCACACCAACAAGAGGGUGAUUUGACAUCUUUUUCCUCUACAGUAAUAAGUUUUUUAAUGAGUAGUCAGCAAUUAGUUUUAUCGUAUCAAAUAACUUUCCAAAGCUACCUUUCCAACUUGAUGAACUAAACAUCAUCACAAACCAAGGGAAUGAAAACAAGGAAUCAUUUUCCCUACGAACUUGCUAGUACCCGGACGUCCGAUGGGAGAUGUUCCCAUCGGAUGGCACCAAUCAUCAGCCACCGACAGAUUCUCACCAGGUGCUCUAACUGCCCAUCGCAACAUGAAACCACAACAUAUGCAACAUCACAGAUGAAUAUUUGCAACAUCAAAAUUAUUCUAGACUAGCUCAUUGCAUCCAACCAAUUUCAGACAAAAAUACCACCGAAACAUCGCAUGUUUCAUGCAACAUCGAUCAAAAUAAUUCUGAUUUAUUCAACAGAUCAUAAUAAGAGUGCUCCAACACUCAAAAUGUCGCAUCGCAACAUUCAUAAAUCAAAGUUGCAACACCUCCAAACAACAGUAGAGGAGAAGCC